rnacentral:rRNA from 1 species
UGCAAGUCGAGCGGUAGCAGGUCCUUCGGGAUGCUGACGAGCGGCGGACGGGUGAGUAAUGCAUAGGAAUCUGCCCGGUAGUGGGGGAUAACCUGGGGAAACCCAGGCUAAUACCGCAUACGUCCUACGGGAGAAAGGGGGCUUUGGCUCCCGCUAUUGGAUGAGCCUAUGUCGGAUUAGCUAGUUGGUGAGGUAAUGGCUCACCAAGGCAACGAUCCGUAGCUGGUCUGAGAGGAUGAUCAGCCACAUCGGGACUGAGACACGGCCCGAACUCCUACGGGAGGCAGCAGUGGGGAAUAUUGGACAAUGGGGGCAACCCUGAUCCAGCCAUGCCGCGUGUGUGAAGAAGGCCUUCGGGUUGUAAAGCACUUUCAGCGAGGAAGAACGCCUGGCGGUUAAUACCCGGUAGGAAAGACAUCACUCGCAGAAGAAGCACCGGCUAACUCCGUGCCAGCAGCCGCGGUAAUACGGAGGGUGCAAGCGUUAAUCGGAAUUACUGGGCGUAAAGCGCGCGUAGGUGGCUUGAUAAGCCGGUUGUGAAAGCCCCGGGCUCAACCUGGGAACGGCAUCCGGAACUGUCAGGCUAGAGUGCAGGAGAGGAAGGUAGAAUUCCCGGUGUAGCGGUGAAAUGCGUAGAGAUCGGGAGGAAUACCAGUGGCGAAGGCGGCCUUCUGGACUGACACUGACACUGAGGUGCGAAAGCGUGGGUAGCAAACAGGAUUAGAUACCCUGGUAGUCCACGCCGUAAACGAUGUCGACCAGCCGUUGGGUGCCUAGCGCACUUUGUGGCGAAGUUAACGCGAUAAGUCGACCGCCUGGGGAGUACGGCCGCAAGGUUAAAACUCAAAUGAAUUGACGGGGGCCCGCACAAGCGGUGGAGCAUGUGGUUUAAUUCGAUGCAACGCGAAGAA